rnacentral:rRNA from 1 species
AUUGAACGCUGGCGGCAUGCUUUACACAUGCAAGUCGAACGGUAACAGGCCGCAAGGUGCUGACGAGUGGCGAACGGGUGAGUAAUGCAUCGGAACGUGCCCAGUCGUGGGGGAUAACUACUCGAAAGAGUGGCUAAUACCGCAUACGAUCUAUGGAUGAAAGCGGGGGACCGUAAGGCCUCGCGCGAUUGGAGCGGCCGAUGUCAGAUUAGGUAGUUGGUGGGGUAAAGGCUCACCAAGCCAACGAUCUGUAGCUGGUCUGAGAGGACGACCAGCCACACUGGGACUGAGACACGGCCCAGACUCCUACGGGAGGCAGCAGUGGGGAAUUUUGGACAAUGGGCGCAAGCCUGAUCCAGCAAUGCCGUGUGCAGGAAGAAGGCCUUCGGGUUGUAAACUGCUUUUGUACGGAACGAAACGGCUCUGGUUAAUACCCGGGGCUAAUGACGGUACCGUAAGAAUAAGCACCGGCUAACUACGUG